AUGAAUACAAAAACAGACAUGUUUGGAUUAUUUAUUCAUCUUUUUUGUAAAAUCUGCAUUCAGAGAUGUGGACUAUUUUUUGAGGAACACAGUAGCUCAGCCAAAGAU